rnacentral:rRNA from 1 species
UACGUAGGGGGCAAGCGUUGUCCGGAUUUAUUGGGCGUAAAGAGCUCGUAGGUGGUUCGGUAAGUCGGAUGUGAAAUCUCCAGGCUCAACCUGGAGGGGUCAUUCGAUACUGCCGUGACUAGAGUUCGGUAGGGGAGUGUGGAAUUCCGGUGGAGCGGUGAAAUGCGCAGAUAUCAGGAGGAACACCCGUAGCGAAGGCGGCACUCUGGGCCUUACCUGACGCUGAGGCGCGAAAGCGUGGGGAGCGAACAGG